AACAGAACAUGUGAACAUGCAUGUGACCGCACUUAUCCGGCACCCAGCAUGUCUUUGAAAACGUCUAACUACACAAACACGCACAUUCUUUGGAAUUCACACACACAUACAGUCUAGUAACGGUUGAACGGGCCAAAGAAACCAAAGAAAAUAAGAGAAGGUAGAACGGAGAUUGAGUCUUUCCUUUGGUUAUUUUCCUGAUACGAAAGAGUAUUUGCUCCCCGCUCGCUGGCGGACCUGAUUGGCGCUCUCGGAUUUGGACAUUGAUUUGCCUUCAUGCUGUUAGACGCGGCAAGCUGCUCGGCUAACCGACUCUCUAUUCACUUCAUUCAUUUCAAAACUUACUGUCUGCUUGCUAGCAUGCUAAUUCCAACAUGCUUUAAUGUUGCACUGGUUAGCCUACUGAAAGGAACAAGCUAUUAGCUAAUAUGUCUGUUUGAACUGUAUAUCUAUACAAAGCCUCAAACAACAGUAGAGGUAUGGCUGACGCUUUGCCCGUCCUGCUCUGUGGAUUUGAACGCGAUCGUCCUUGGGUCCAAAUCCCUGGUUUAUUAUCCGCCAAGCCCUUGUCAUAGGUUUACACGCUCCUGGUGUGUGUACGUGUUUGCAGGUUUGCAGUGUCUAAUGAGGGGCUUGACUCACGGGGGUGAGUGGUGGUUUCGAGCACAGAGGUCAGCUGAGCACAAAAGGCGAGAAAAGAUGAAAAUGAGGCAGAGCAAGUGCUCUGCUGAGGUCAAGUGCGGUGGGCGCUGGGGGCGUUCUGAUUUUGAAACAUAACAACGUAGCGCCACCGGUGGGGUUACGGUGGUACAGGGCCAAGUGGAAAUGUUUUGAGUGCCGAACACCUCACUGCCUGCCGGCUGAGAGCGGACAUAGAACCUUCAUGAGGAAGCAUGUUUUCUGCUGUGCCCACCAAACCUUUAUAUGCACACUAUUAGAUUAUGCACAUACAUUUAUGUGUGGUUUGAUCAGCCCUGUCGCACAAUGCAGAUAAUCGUUUCACAACCUCCAACUCAACCUGGUACUGUUGGGUUCAGUUUAGGCCACUAAAAAUAGUUUGUCGCAGUUGCAAAAAGAUCACGGUCAAUGCAAAUCAGCAUUUAGUUUGAAUGAGAACUCAUUCACUCGCUCAUCAGAUACCCACACCUUGUCCGUGGCUGUCGGCCUCUCAUUCCAACUCACGAGAAACCCUUCAGCGUCCGAAUGAGACGGACUACGCUUACAACAAACUCCAGCGAAAAAACCCAUCCGAUUCAGAAAGCACGGUGCGUCGGGUUUAUCGAAAAGUGUCACUAGAGGGGAACCUAGAAUGUCACACUGGGAAGUGUACUGAAACCGACUACUUGACAAGCUGGGGCUGAGAUUGUGUUGAAAGGUCACACAUUAGAUCUUCACCCCAUUCAGGAGUUUCACUUGUGAGGUAAAGACAAUGGUAAUGGUUGUUUGGGGAGGACGGGUCACAAGAGGUUUUUUGCUUUUUCUCCCUCUACUUCUCUGCUCGAGGUUACUCAAGUGUUAACCAUCUUUCUGAAAUAAUUGUACAAAAGUGAUAAGAAACUUGUAUUGCCGAUCAUUUUACGGUUCUGACAAAGUCCAACAGUUUAUGUGACUUUACCAAAAGGUCCCUGCGGUGUCACCCAUGUGGAUACGGCCCUUAUCUCCUUCAUUUGACUCUUGCCAAACAGGAAACUAGCAAAUGAAUUUAGCAGAGUCUCAUACCCAUGCACACACAAUUAAGACAUCAGGGGCCUAUCAGAUUAUCUGUUGUUGUCAGGGUUACGGCGAGACCAAUGUGGACAUGUAAACAGUAUUGGAGAAGGAUUAUGUAACACAACAGGCGGGUUGUGGAUUAGUACUAUUUGAAGAAACGGAUAGGGAUUAUUCAGCGAGGCAGCUUCACUUUGAUGUCACAUGAGGGAAAUUUGUAUGCAGUCAUGCAUCUAGAAGAUACUAUACAUCGCUCGGUGCACAAACAUGUACGUAGAUUUGCAGCACUGCCAGAGACCUUGUAAGGACCUCCAGUAAUUACAGUACGUCAAGCCUUUCCUGUCGAUGUUUUUCACCCUGGAGAGCCCACAUUAGAAGGGGGCGCCUGAAUGAAAAUGAAUCCCAACUAACUAACAGAAAUGUAUAAUGUAUGUCUGUGCCCCGAAGGAGAGCUCCUUCGGCCGGACUCAAGUGCCCCUGAAGAGACUGUUGGCUCUGGUCAUAAUGGAGAAGAACAGGACCCCCCCCCCCCGACCCCCUCCCCAAUUACACUGCAGAAUCAAGUGCUGUGUAGCACAAAAGAAAAAAACCCUGAGAAUGAGGAGGAGAAAAACAGUUUGAGAGUUGAAUCUUUGGGAAAGUUAUUGUUGUUGACCGUCCUAAUUGCUUUUGAUUACGUAGUUUUGGACACUUUAUUCUGAAAGCUGGCGCGAGAGGCUGGCGAGAGCACUUUCCGUGAACGCUCCGUGGCCCCCGUUCAUCUAAUGGCAUCUAAUGUCACGUCCCGCGACUUCUUUUCAUCCCAGUGUUUCCUAAACUCGCGGUGGUCAUUCCUGGCUUCAGUUCAGCCGUUGGGUCAGAACCUUCUGCUGAUGGCAGUGGUGGAGCGUGUGACUGUCAGGGAGGACCCCCCUCCUUUCUGUUCCUCUCCAACCUGCUCAUCGGCCUCCUCUCCUUUAUCCCCUCCUUCUUCCCUUCCCUUCAGCUGGCCGGAGGAUGCAUGGUUCAGUGGGUGCCAUCAGUCACUACCUCCCCCCAUCGUCCCUCCCCACCUUUUACCUCUCUCCCUCUCCCCACAUUUUCCAGACCCCUGCCGCACUAAGCUGAGCUUAAGAGUCAGCUGAGCUGAUCAAAGAACCGUAGCCAUGUAGUGGCUAACAAGAGGCGAGAGUUCCCAACGACACAGGACCUCCCAGGGGUUUCCACCGACAUAGAGCUACUGCGACUAGAAUGGAUAGACGCGCUCCUUGCGCGGUUGCGUGAGAAGCUGCGUGGUAGACCGUGGCAGUCUGCUUUUCCGGUAAAGGUAUUCAUUCUUGCCGUGGACGGGCUCGGCCCCGCGGGGAGUUUUACCGGUCUGCCCCGGUGAUUUUUGGCCUCCAUUGUCUAGCAUCCCCUUAGCGCGGGGAAGGCCCGGGUCUCGUUCCCAGCACUGCCCUUCCUCUCACCUCCACGCCCCACCCCCCUUCUCCAUCACCCACCCUGCCCGUCACGUACACCCCGUCCAGUUUCUUUUGCAUGUUCUGGCCCCUUAUUAUAACUACAAUUAGCCAGAGCAGGAUUUCCCUCCUCUUACUCCUCCCUUUGUUCCCCAUUUCUUCUUUUGUCCUUCGUGACAUUCUCUCCUUCUGUUUUCCUCCAUACUGCUAUGUGUUAGUCCAGCCGUAAACCAUAAUCUUCAGUAACAGUGUCUUUUAGCUUGCCUUGAGCCUAUUUCUCGAAAAAUUACUGAGUGUCAGCAUUAUAUACAGUCAGUAAACAUCUCAUCUUUUUGCUAAUACAAAAAUGUAGAACAGCCAACAGAUGAUCAUCACAUUGAUCCCUCUGGAAAUCAAACAGAGGGGCGUUCUAAAUGAUGGCUAUCGGUAGGACGCCCUGCUGACUUUGUGAAACAAAUGUUUAGACUACAGGCGUUGGGUAAAAAUUUAAAUCAAAUCAAUUUCAGCAAACAUCCCAGGUAACAUUACAUUACAUUACAGGUCAUUCAGCUGACGCUUUUGUCCAAAGCGACUUACAUUACUUUAUUAACCCAUGGCUUUUUACAUUUGUUUGCCCGGGGAGCAAUUAGGGGUUAGGUGUCUUGCUCAGGGACACUUCGACAUGGGGCAGCCGGGGCUCGAACCACCAACCUUGCAGUUCCCGACGUUUGGUUGGAAGGUUGAUUUAAUGCAAAACAAUUAAGGUAUCAAAAUCACAUAAAAACAGUGAAUAACACUUUGACAAUCUCAUUUCUGUCACCCUCACAGGUAAUUGAGUAUAAUAUAAUAUAUACAUCAAAUAUAAUCAGUAUGAUACUGAUUACAUUACAUACAGUGCUAUAAUAUGUACUGUAUUCAAGUCAGUCAUCUCAUCUGCUUGAAGACAAUAAAAUCCAUGCUCUUUACUUCCUCCAGAUUACCGAUAUGUUGCCCAAGUCCGACUCUAUGAAAGGAAGAGUUGUAUGUCACACAUUUUUAUAUUUAAUCUGCAAUUGGCCAAAGUGCUUUUUAGACCCGCCUUCUGGGCAAACUUGACAUUGUCCCUAGCGCAGCUAGGACACGCAUGACGACAGGACGUAUAUGACAGGCAGGGACCUGCAGGAAAAGCAUAUAUUUUACAAAUAUUAUUGGGUACAUUUCAUCAUUCAAGUAUUGAUAUUUUUUGUUUUUCGUUUCGUUUUUGGGGCUCAAAGACAAAGAAAAAGACAGACAGACAGCCAAUAGAGGGCCAUUGCCCUCUAUUGGCUGUCUGUCACUGUCUAUAUAUCUAAAUCUGUUUAAUUGAUUUUAACUAAAUGCAUUUUCCAAAACUUCAAAAGUGACUUGUAGAAUAGAUUUAUUAUUUGUUACUUCGGCGUAAUAGGUAAUAAAAUAAUUUGUGUGUCUUUGGGAAAAUUAUUUUAACCAAAAAGAAACUCGAAGGUUUAAUUUGUUUGCUUGACAGAAUCCCGGAGCUUCUUUUAUGCACCGAAGGAAAUGCAUGACAUACAGAUUAAAGGCUCAGAAAACGUUAGCGACUGGACUUCAAACAAAGCGAUACACCCUGGACAGGUCAGACGUGAGGGCCUGAUCCAGACGGCGAGUCCCCAGAGCCACGGCCCCACGGUGCCCCUUCACUAAUCACAGCGUGAAGGCUUUACUGUAUGUUGAUUAUAGGGAUUAUUGUAUUAUGUGGAAUAGUCUUCUCUCUUGAGACUCAACUCUGGGAGUGAGGGUUUCUUCCUGAACUAAAUUAGACUCUAAGUGGAAAAUACUUUUAAUCAUAAUCAUUUUGCCUAUUCUAACAACAUUCUAAAAAAUUGUUUUAUGCAACUUAUCCCCACCCCAAUGCACUUAACCGACAACAAAUCACUCUCCCAGGCUUUUUUCAAGCUCUUUCCGGUUCCCUGAAUUUCUCAAAGCACUGUGCUGAUCGGAUCUUCGAGGAAAGUCGGGGACGUGAAGAGGAAAAAGGAGACCUCCAGUCAUCAGCAGUGCUGCUUGGUGGUGGAGGGGAGGGCUCCUCUUACGGGGGGUGCAUUUGUCUGGAGGUGGAAAGAGCUUUGAAACCAGGGCUCUACAAAAUGGUUCCAGGAAGAAAUAAAAAGGCCUUUCUGGUCUGAAGUGGGGCCUCUGAGAUCCCAGGGAUAUUGUUUCCUCUCAAUCGUCAGGGGUUCAAAUCCAAGGCUUGUAAUGCUAAUUUACAAUGAAAUACUGCAAAAAAAAAAAAAAACGUAGAUUACUCACUUAUUUAGGCAAAUUCUGUUUUACAGAAAUAUUGGAGGUCAGUAGAGUUUAAGGCAGAUGUUAUCGCUCAAACCUGAUUUUGGAAGUUCACGUUUCCUCCGUGGACCCAACGUGAGUCAAGUUUGCGCUGGAUGAUUUUCCGUCCCAAUCUUUGAGAAUUUCCCUCGAGUUGUAGGGUUUUAGUGGCUGUCAACGGUCAUUGUGUGUACUGUAUGUGAGCCCAACAUCAACAGACAGGCAGUGGGAGGUGGAUUGGCAAAAGGCCUGAGGGCGAACAGCUGAGGGGGGACUAUGGAGAGAUUAAAAAGGGAAUGUGGCCCUUAAUCCACUGUAACACAGCAGUCCCUCCGAGUCUCCACUCGCCGAGGGAAAGAAAAGAAAAGAAGAGCAUUCCUCCAGACGCCAUUCUCCGGCCAUCUGGCCUUAACCAAACACACAACGGCCCCGCGACCCUCCUCUACCUCCGCUCCCUCUCCAUCUCCAUCAUUGACCCGCUGAAGCCUUCUCACCGCCUCCUCCGCUCCCACUUCAGCACAAUGCCACCAGCACGGUAUUACCCUUACAUGUUCUCAGUAUAUGUGACAGAGCAGAGGCUUUUGCUAAAUCAAUAAAUACAAUUGUCAUUCAUACUCCCCUCAGUCUUGAACUUCAACUUCUUUUCACAUUACAGAAGUGAAGUACUGGGAUGAAAUCCUCGUUGUUCAUGUUGGAAUAUCUGCAACUUGCUUGAAACCAGCUGAUUUGCCCACAUCCACCAAUCCCAGUCAAGGGUUGGCUCACUUCAAAGGGAUGAUGCUGCGGUGGUGGCAAAGUGGAAUUUCCCACCUCCAGGUUCUUACACCUGUAAAAAAAAAGUAAGAAAGCGUAGUAAGUUUAAUUGUUUUUGUGUAACUCUCCCGUUUAGAUUAUAUUUGGGCUACAAGUGCAUGAUCAAGCGGCCGCUUUGAGCGAUGGUUGCGUGGCGUAUCAGGGCGCUAGCUGCUCAGUCACCCAUGUGUUGAUGCAUGAGAGGUCAAGAGAGUGCGCCCCAUCGGUCAGCUCGCAGCCGCUUCGCUGCACAACUCUCAGAAUCAAAUGGACUAUCAGAGGUGCAUGCAUUAGGUAGGCUUACUCACAUUGCAUUUCUCUGCCUCCACCAAACUCCUCCACGUUUAAACUUGAACUUGAGGCUUCAAAACGGUCGCCCACAAACCAAUGUGUGACGCCACUGUAUCAGCACCUUUGGCUCAUGAGUAAAUGUAAGUCCUCUCCAGUCUCGGCUGUGAGCAUUUAGCACACUGUUUGGAUACCCAUGUGUACAGAACCGUUCUCACACUCUUUGCACACCUUUUUAUUGACUGCUAUUCCAAAAAUGUGUCAUGUACCUGCUGUCUCAUGGGGGUGAAUCUCCCCCUCUCUGUCUUGUUCACUUCCACCUUUUUAGCCAUCGUUCCCACCAAACGCGUGGACCUUUUUUGUCACAAAUACAUUUUUUUUUCUUGUAUGCGCGUUCUGAUGUUGUUUGUUGGCGCCAACGUCUUUAACCCCCCCCCCCAAACAACUCUGACCUCCCAUCUGUCGGGCUGUAAGUGUGUGGCGGUGAGCCGAGCAUUGCCCCGCUCUGGCUUCCCUGUAACAUCCAGAAGAGACGUCUUCGUUUCGAUGGGACAAAAGGGCCGCCAAGGAUCACAGAUGUUCCCCGGGGGGGCUUAUGGGUAAUAGCCAGCUGCCUAUAGGCUGCGAGCUGGAGAUUCGGAGAGGAAGUUACAGGUAGGAGAGGAAAGCGGAGUACAGGUGUCUGGGUCCAUCAAAUUCCAUCAACAAGUUAACCUCCACUGAAAUAUCUCAAGGCCCAUUGAAAAUAUUUCGGUGUUUAACAUAUUAACUCUACACACUGUGACUGAAACUAGGCUGUGCAUCAUUUUUAUGAUUUUUAAGUCAAUAAGAAUGGAAUUUAACCAUUAGUUCGGCAGUUGAUUGUGGCCCAUCAGCUCCUCCACACAGCGCUAAGCUGACAUUCUUUGCAAGAAACAUCCUGCACUGCUGUGUAACUCUUUCUCGUAAAUGCUUUAACCAGGAUCCAAAUG
ensembl:lncRNA